rnacentral:rRNA from 1 species
GAUAAUAAAAAAAAAGUCUACGACCGAUCUCGUCUGAUCUCGGAAGCUAAGCAGGGUCGGGCUUGGUUAGUACUUGGAUAGGAAACCACCUGGGAAUACCAGGUUCUGUAAGCU